CCUACGGGGGGCUGCAGUGGGGAAUAUUGGACAAUGGGCGAAAGCCUGAUCCAGCCAUGCCGCGUGUGUGAAGAAGGCCUUCGGGUUGUAAAGCACUUUCAGUGGGGAAGAAAGCCUUGGGGCUAAUACCCUCGAGGAAGGACAUCACCCACAGAAGAAGCACCGGCUAACUCCGUGCCAGCAGCCGCGGUAAUACGGAGGGUGCGAGCGUUAAUCGGAAUUACUGGGCGUAAAGCGCGCGUAGGCGGUCUGAUAAGCCGGUUGUGAAAGCCCCGGGCUCAACCUGGGAACGGCAUCCGGAACUGUCAGGCUAGAGUGCAGGAGAGGAAGGUAGAAUUCCCGGUGUAGCGGUGAAAUGCGUAGAGAUCGGGAGGAAUACCAGUGGCAAGGCGGCCUUCUGGACUGACACUGACGCUGAGGUGCGAAAGCGUGGGUAGCAAACAGGAUUAGAUACCCGUGUAGUC
rnacentral:rRNA from 1 species